UUUGAUAGCCCCAUAGAAUGGUGAACGUCACACAUAGCGUCACCAGUUCACGGUAGAUAACUGUCAAAAUUAUUUACAAAUAAGAUUUAGCGGAGGAUGAAAAUUAUUACUGCCAAUUAGUUGGAAAGUUUUAUCAAUAAUUGUUUCCUUAUUGAAUUUUCGCCAACUGAAAAUGAAACUUCACUGGAAAAU